AGUUGUCAGCAGGCAUAAAACCAUAACCAGUAAAAGAUGAAGAAUAAUGAUAUAAUAGCUCCAGUUGUCUCCUCUCCUAUACAACCUAAUGAUUAUCACUAGUGUUGGGAAAUGAAUUUUCAGAAUUUAUGAUUCUCCAGGAAAAGAGCAGGUGAGUCAGAGAAAACAAAUCAGCCUGGAGUGAGUAUCGAGAAGCUGUGCUGCUGCAUCAUCCCAUCCUUGCAGGAAGCUGGUGGGCUGUCAGUGUGGGUUUUCAGAUGCACCAAGGAAAGUUUUAAAAUCAUCUAUAUGUACAAUUGUUUCUGUGAUAUCUCCUUCAUUCCAUGUUGUCCUUUCUUCUUUUGAAAUGGACCUGCAAAUACCUCAUAGUUAGGAUACUGCCAGUAAUUGUUACAGGUAAAUCAGUCUGUUUAGUCACAGUAAACUACUGAUUUUUAACAGGAUAGAGCUUUCAGCAGCAGUCCAGAAUCUCUGGAUUUUUCACACUCUGGAUGGACUUCCAGGGUGACUGGAGUUCAAGUCCUUUGCAUCUUAGAGACACCUCCUCUGUGAGCAGGUCUGUUUUUAAUGUAGAGUUCAAAUGUAUGCCUGGAGCAAAUAAACACGCAUUUAAAAAAGCUCGGAGCCUUGCAGUAGUAAUCCAAGCUCUUUGUGCCCUGGUGGCCCUGCCUGUUCUCAGGCUCCCCAAAUGUGGUCCUAGGCCAGGGAAGGGAAGAGCAGCAUCUCUCAGCAGUCUAGGUGGGCUCUGCAGCUGAGCCGCUGCUUCACGUGGAGUUGUGGCCACUGGAAAUUCAGAGAACCAAGCCUUUUCUGAGUGUGUGUUUUAAAUGUGUGGAGAGGAAAAAGCUACCCAGGUGACCUACAGGGGCAAAUUUUGGAGACUAAAGGGAGAUUUGCUAUUGCCUCAAAAGGGAGCAGGAUGGAUUUCUGAGCACAGCAUUUCAACUAAGCUGAGCUGGUUGGGGUUCUCAAUAAACUGCUGAGGCAAGAUGGGACCUCUGCUCUUCCAGGCCUUCUCUGUGCCAAGGACUGACCCAGCAGCAACUUUCAAUAUUCAUGGAUGCAAAAAAUUCUGCAAAUGAUAACGUGCAGCUGAGAGGCUGUGAGCCUUGAAUGAGACAAUUCUGCAGCAGAGCACUGGUUUUUCAGGGAUCCUCUCCACUCUACCUGGGAUGCCAUGGUCUGUCAAAUCACAGCAGCAGUGCAGGGAAGUGAUCUUGGAGCAGUGAAUGAAA